rnacentral:lncRNA from 1 species
AUGGCUGUGCAGGGAGAACCAACAAACCCAGAGUGGCAACUAGAUCUGAUCACCUCAAACUCCAUGAAGCAUGGUGGGGGGGAGAUUUAUGCUCUCUUAGUCCCCUGCAGCUGGUGCCUCUUCCUGGCAAAACAGUCAUGUGAUCCAAGUGAGUCGAGCUGCUGAGGUGGCUGGCAUUCUCACUCACUGAACUAUUUCUGAGUCUUUUACCCCCUCCAUGGGCUACAAAACCAGAAGAAGUUAUGUGGACAUGGCUGGUGAUGAACUACUCUGCUGUGCCUGAUGCCAUCAACAGCAGCUCCAAAACACGGACCUCCCUCUUGUGUCAGUACAGACGCUCAGACUGGCACAAGCUUAUUUCAACCUGAUUGGAGAAGAAAAAAAACCUAGGCUUGUCCUGACUCCAAAACAGUCUUAGGUUGUGCCAUGUGUAGCACUUAAGGCUGCAGCUACUCAGAAUAUUGUCUAUGCAACUUAAUCAAACCAGUGUAAUAAAGACCCAAACCAAGGGUAACAGCAAAUUCCAAACAAGAAACCUGUGCUCUCUCCAUGGGGGAGAUGGGGCUAUGCACUCUUUUUUUUUUUUGGAAAGAAAAGUCUUCCUUUCUUAGGCAUGGAUUAUACAUCUAGAAUCACACUUUAAUAACCAAAGUGAAAAUGUGCAUGGGACAUCAACAAGCCAGACACUUCUGUGCUGGGUUUAUGCACAUAUUCAAACCAAUAUACUGUAUUAAAUAAUGUACUCAGGCUUUUUAAAAACCCUUUAAAAUAGAUGUAUUCAAAUGCUUCAUACAUCUCAGAACAUUCUUUGUCACCUGUCAACACAACUUCAUUUGCUAUAAGGGUUGCUUUUUGGAUCAUCUACUGCCCCUUGUUAUUACUGGCAAUAUCAUUCCAAACCUCCUUGUAUGGGUCAUAACAGACAACAGACACGACUUAAACUGCCUUAGUUAAGAACUACUGGUCUUAGAGUUCUGAUCAUGGCUCAGUGGUUAACGCGACGAGUAUCCACGAGGACGCGGGUCUGAUUCCUGGCCUCACUCAGUGGGUUAGGGAUCUGGCAUUGCUGUAAGCUGUAGCGUACACUGAAGAUGUGGCUCGGAUCCCAUGUUGCUGUGGCUGUGGUGUAGGCUGGUAGCUGCAGCUUGGAUUUGACCCCUAGCCUGGGAAGCUCCAUAUGCCACAGGUGUGGCCCUAAGUAGACAAAAGACAGACAAAAACCACUGGUUUCCCUCCUGGGAUUUAUUCACACUAGGCCAAGUCAGAAGCCCUGUCAGGAUGGAGGCAGGUGGAUGGAGUCAAUAGGGCAAGUAGGUUUCUCCUGCUGCUUGGGAUCCUGUUGAUCACAGCCUGAAUUACAUGCUGUAUGAGACAGGAUGAAUAGAUCUGGUCUGGGUUUCUGCUGGCCUAACGCAUCAGACCCACCACAGAGGAUGAAAUUACUUAGAAGCAGAAUUAUAAAAGCAGGUUAAUGUCUAGACUUCUGGCUGAGUAAAUAUCAAAUAUGAUCAGUAAAUAUUCUACAUUUAUGGCUUUAUAGCCCAUAUGAUUAAAACAAACUACGCUUAAAAUUAGGAAAAUUCACAUUACUUCGGAAAGUAACUUCAUAUUCACUUGUCUCCAUAAUUCACUAAAAAUAAAAAUAAAUGGUUUUUGAGAACAACCACAGACAUGACUUUGAUGAAAGACCAUUUCUCCGCCCCCCUGUGAGCCAUGAGGAAAAGGUAGAUAUGUUUAUUCAUAAAGUUCUGUAUCUUCAUGGACAAGUGAAGCUGCUGGCAUAUCCUGUUAUUUAAUUGAAAGGAGGCAGAAUAAAUGCCUCAUGUAAAGCCACUGUUGGAGCUGCACUUGCAUACUGUAAACAGAUACAAAUAUUUCAACAUUAUCCACACUUUAAGUUUAAAAUUUAAGCCUAUCUUAUACAUAACAUGAAAGAACAUCUUUAGAACAAUUAUGAAAAAAAUCCGACUUCAGUUCUUUGUUUUAGAACUAGGGCUUUUGUAUCAUCCGGGGUCUCUACCCAGAAGGCUGAAGAGAAGGUGGAUGAAUGCUCCAGGCAGAGGGCUAGAUAGAUGACAUCAGAGUCAGUCAAAGACAAAAAGCACGAAAAUAAAUCUAUUUUUCCUAUUAAAAAAUCGCUCAGAAUGAUUAAAAUGAAUUCCUACCCAAAUUAAAUUGUCUUGAAGUUUUCUGUGCAAGGCUUUAGGCAUUAUGAACACUCCUUGACUUUGGCCUGCCAUGUUUCCUUAAUCAAUCAUGCAGUAGCCUAAAAUUAAAUUGAAAUGAUUGGAUCAAGGAAAAUCAAAUUUUUUAACAUUUAGUUGCAGUAAUGUGAUUAUGAAGCUUUUAGUGAUAUUGUAAUUACUUUGAAGCUUCAAGCAUAUGUUUCUACUGAGAGUAUUCCAUGGAGAAAAGCUGCAUUAGGGAAACAAGUAAAUACAGACCCCAGUGAUGCAAAAAUAUAUUUGCUAUAAAGUUAAAAGCUAAAGGUUGGAAAAGUGACAAUGCAGUCAUGUAAUUUAUACUCUAGACAUCCUUGUAGAGUAAGCAUUUUAAAAUCCCAGCUCAUUCCAGAAUUAAAAUAACGUCAUGGCUUCUCUCUAAAGGGAAGCAUUAGAGAAGCAAUAAGAAGAAACAACAGUAAAGGACGGGGGUGGGGGGAGAAAAAAGUCAUCUUGUGUAAGCUCCAUUUGUGCACAGAAAAAAAAAAAAUGUGACAGACUAAAUUCUCUCUCCUAAACUUAAUGAAUCAACUUCUCAGAAUAUGAAACAUUUUAAUACGCUUGGUAUUUACCAAAAUCCAACCAUAGAGUUACUAUCCCUUAGAAAUUCUUUCAUCCAUUUCAACACUUACUGGGAUUAUGCUGGGCUUGGGGGCCACAGAGAUAAAUGAGAUGAGGCCCCACCCUCAAGGCAAUUGUCAUAGAGAUUAGAUUCUUUAACCAGGUACUUGGGCCUCUGAAACAGGGAGGGAGACUGGAGAAAACAAAAUGAAGAGACAAGACUUGUCUCUCCUUUUCUUUGAUUCUUUCACUCAUUCAAUAACUAUUUAAGUACCUGCCUAUUUAAGAACCAGGCAGGUAAGUAAACACAAAAUAGUCAAAUGGAAUGGGUUUAGGUCUUCAGACUUUAACAAACAGGAAAAUGAUUCCAUCAAAAUAAUCAAGGUUACAAAGCUUUUGAAGGAUUUGUUCAUUCUGAUUGCAUCAAAGCACAGCUAACUGUCCUAAUCACUUAAAGAUCCUAAGGAGGAAGCAGUGCAUUGUACCUAACAGCGUUUAAUUUGGCUAAUGCCAAUUUUAUUUAUUUAUUUUUAAUGUGAAUUUACUUCUCACUUUCAGCCAUAAAUUUUGCCACUUCCUACACUCUCAGAGGAGGCCGAUUCCGAUUCACCUGCCACUGACCCCUGCCAGCUUUCGAGUUUGCUCCCUCUGCCCAAGUGGGCCUUACAAUACAUCACAGAGUGGCCAUUAGUUACAGACACACUCCUUUUUGUUAAUUUUUAUUAAUUUUAUUAUUAUGACCAGAUUAGUACUGUCAUAAUCCUGUGUUAGUCAAAAGGAAAUGAGUGAGCUUUAACAUGGCCCAGCUGCCAAAGCUAUCUUUCUAAUAAUAACUCUGACCAUGCCCAUUCCUAGCCUUAAGACCAACCGGCUCCUCAUUACUUACAGAACAAAAUCCACAUUCUCAAGCAGGCCCUGACCCUCUUUCCCUGGAUUGCUCCUCACUUUCUCCUUCAUGUGUCCCAUGCUAGAACCCUGUCAACAACUCCCUACCAUAGCAUCUGCCUCCAAACCUCCAUGCCUCACUGUUUGCACUUGGGAAAGGACUCAGCUCUGAAGGUCCAGCUCACAUACCACCUCUGUUCUGGAGGGUCCCCGGCUUUAUCACACAAAAAAACACACCUCCAUUAUAGUGUCUGUUGCUGCUGAUCAUGAUCUUACAAGUGGACUCAGCCUCUUCACAAAAUUGUGCUUCCUCAUUUACAUAUGGAGACAUAGCAAUAUCUCAGAUUAUAACUUACAGUCACAAUACAUGUUUGUUGAAGUUAACAUUUAUUUUCUUUUUUCCCAAUAAAAACCAAAGUUUUUCUUUUCUUACAAAUCAAAUUCUGCAUCUAUUUUAAAAAUUCACUUCACAUUUCCUUUCCAGUUUCUCCUAACUGCACUAACAAUGCAUAAUGGAAUAUCUUCCAAAUAUUCAGCUAAAAGUGACUCAUGAAACCAAAUUCUAUACAAACAUCAUUUAAAAAAUGAAGUCAAAUUAAGCUUGAUUCUUUUUUUGUCCUUCAUAACUUUACUAGAAUUUGUUUAAAACUUGUAAUUGUGUAUUUCCAGCCAAGCCAGAUUAGUAACUACUUACAAAGGGCAGGACAAUGUUAAACUAUUCCACAGGAGCAUUGGUGUCUAACUUUCACAGUGAGCUGGUAAAUCAGAAAUCAGAAUGUACAUAAAAUGGUUAUCUGCUCCCGCUUUGCCUGAUCAUGUGUUGUGUGAAGUCCUAUUUCCUGUCAAAAGCAUAACAAAGCUUCCCCUGCUCUACAGGAUACAAAUGAGCAACCUGGUACAGCAAAUUAUGCAGCUGUAAUUCACCAUUUCAGUUCUGGAGUGGAGCCACAUGUUCUUCUGCCACCUGGGAAAACCACCUUGAAAAGUGAGUUAUGUCCUUGGCCAGCUUUAUCAAUUAGUUGUCAAAAAAACCACAAACAAUCUAGAUUCCUCACAUGUAACAUUGAAGAGCUGUCAAUUCGAUGUUCUAGAUCUUCAUCCUUAGUUUAUAAUAAGAUACUUUAAAACCAGAUUUCGAAUAGUGAAGGCCUUAAUCAUUACCGUUGUAAUGUGGCCCCUAAAUGUAAUCACAAGUGUUCUCAUAAGAGGAAGACAAAGGGAGAUUUGACUACAGUAAAAGAGAAGGCAAUAUGACCACAGAAACAGAGACUGGAGUGAGGCAGCCAGGAGCCAAGAAGCCAGCAGCGUAUAGAAGUGGAAGAGGAUUCUUCACUAGAGCUCCCAGAAGGAACUAGUUCUGCUAAUACCUUGACUUUAGUCCCUUAAAACUCAUUUUGGACUCAUGGCCUCCAGAACCAGAAGAAAAUAAAUUUGUGUUAUUAUGCUAACUUGUUACAGCAGCAACAGGUAACUAAUACAGUGACCGAGGCAUGCCUCAAAAAAUAGUACUGAAAACAGCUAGUGAAACGACGGUACUAAUGGUGGGUUUUUUUGAAAACAUUACUUUUACGACCAGAACAUAAAAUCAUUAGAUGUAUGCUACCAUUAAUAAUUUAUUUGACAAUUUGUCACAAAAAUAUAAUCAGUUUUACAUAGUUUCCAGGGAUGCAUUUGUCCUCUCCUUCACACUACGUUUAUAACAUUUACUGCAUUCCUAUAUUUCCAAAAUAUUACAUGCUUAAUGCUUAAAAGCUGAAAAAACAAAGAAAACCACAGUGAAAGGAAUCCCACAACCCGAAGAUAAUAAUUUUAAAGCAUACUUCCCAAUGUUUUUACAUAUAUAAAUGGCACCUAAUGCCAUCUAGUUCUAGUAAGAAAGUGCUUAUAUUAAUUUUAAAAAAUCUUUCUAAACUAUUAAGAAAUUCACACACAAUUAUCAGUCUUGGGCCAUUAAUGCUAUCCUAUUACCAUCACUGCUUGAAGACCAAAAAAAAUCAUGUCACCCCCAGAAAUCAGCCCACAAAUGGCAUUUCCACCCUUCUCUAACUUUACCUGCAUAACUUGUAUUCUAGAGGGCAUAAAAUGAUUAAAUUGGCUACAGAAGCCAGAAGAGAUGUUUAAAUUUAUAUGUGAGUAACUGUGACACUCAUAACUGGACUCUAGAGAAGUUCCUUAGAUGUUAAACCACAAAUCAAAAUUAUUCCAGAGUUUCCCCUCACCCCUCCAAAAACAGAGUUAUAAAAUGUGCUGCAGUGAUGCUCAGGGCCCAGAAAUCGCCAAGGUACAGAAGGCAAGGAUACACACCUGGUGUGAAACUCUACAAUCAUGCACUACGAAUAAGAUUAUUUGAUGACUUUCUUGAAAUCAAACUGAUAGGAAAAAAAAUCAGUAUAUUUGAUAGAAAAUUUGCAUGCAGUGAGAAACAUACAAACACAUACACACAUAUAUAUAUAUAUACAGAGACAAUUAAAAAAAGAAGAAAAUUCUAGAGAGGACCACAAUAAAGGAAGAAAUUCCCUUCCCUCCUACUGACAGUGCAUAUCACCAAUUCCUCAGUGACAAUAGUAGGAAGCAAGUAUCAGGCCUCCACUAUACAUUACUUUCUGUUUUUAUCAUCUAUCUAUGCAGAGUGAAACAUAUACAAUUCGCAUCCAACACCCUGAACUCAGGCAUCUUUAAAAACAUCUUUAGGUACUGUCACACAUACUUAUCCAGAUUUAGGAGAUGCCAACUGACUUGUGCAAUCUACAUGUGUUUGUGAUCAGCAUUCGGAGAAGCAGCAACUCAGAUAAAGCUGCCCCGGUUGUGCUUAAAUCUGUACCUCUCACUCCCUACGGAUUCACCGGGGAGCUAGAAAGGACUUCAAGCCAGAGUUCAAAGGUAGAAAUAAGACUGAGAGCAUGAAUUACUACUUGUAAGCGUCUCUGCAGGCAGCAAGCCUAACUCCUGCCCUAUCCUCUAGCCAGCCCAAGGUUCUUCACUCCCCAAAACUCUGGCU